rnacentral:rRNA from 1 species
GACGAGGGGUCCAAGCGUUGUUCGGAAUCAUUGGGCGUAAAGCGGGUGUAGGUGGCUCUAUAAGUCAGAAGUGAAAGCCCCGGGCUUAACCCGGGAAGUGCUUUUGAUACUGCAGAGCUUGAAUGUGGGAGAGGGUGGUGGAAUUCCCGGUGUAGCAGUGAAAUGCGUAGAGAUCGGGAGGAACACCAGUGGCGAAGGCGGCUACCUGGACCAGCACUGACACUGAAGCACGAAAGCGUGGGGAGCAAACAGG